AUGAACGCUGGCGGCGUGCCUAAUACAUGCAAGUCGAGCGAACGGACGAGAAGCUUGCUUCUCUGCUGUUAGCGGCGGACGGGUGAGUAACACGUGGAUAACUUACCUAUAAGACUGGGAUAACUUCGGGAAACCGGAGCUAAUACCGGAUAAUAUUUUGAACCGCAUGUUUCAAAAGUGAAAGACGGUCUUGUUGUCACUUAUAGAUGGAUCCGCGCUGCAUUAGCUAGUUGGUAAGGUAACGGCUUACCAAGGCAACGAUGCAUAGCCGACCUGAGAGGGUGAUCGGCCACACUGGAACUGAGACACGGUCCAGACUCCUACGGGAGGCAUCAGUAGGGAAUCUUCCGCAAUGGGCGAAAGCCUGACGGAGCAACGCCGCGUGAGUGAUGAAGGUCUUCGGAUCGUAAAACUCUGUUAUUAGGGAAGAACAUAUGUGUAAGUAACUGUGCACAUCUUGACGGUACCUAAUCAGAAAGCCACGGCUAACUACGUG
rnacentral:rRNA from 1 species